rnacentral:rRNA from 1 species
UUUAUACGGUGAACUGCGAAUGGCUCAUUAAAUCAGUUAUCGUUUAUUUGAUAGUACCUUACUACAUGGAUACCUGUGGUAAUUCUAGAGCUAAUACAUGCUAAAAACCUCGACUUCGGAAGGGGUGUAUUUAUUAGAUAAAAAACCAAUGCCCUUCGGGGCUCCUUGGUGAAUCAUAAUAACUUAACGAAUCGCAUGGCCUUGCGCCGGCGAUGGUUCAUUCAAAUUUCUGCCCUAUCAACUUUCGAUGGUAGGAUAGUGGCCUACCAUGGUGGCAACGGGUAACGGGGAAUUAGGGUUCGAUUCCGGAGAGGGAGCCUGAGAAACGGCUACCACAUCCAAGGAAGGCAGCAGGCGCGCAAAUUACCCAAUCCCGACACGGGGAGGUAGUGACAAUAAAUACUGAUACGGGGCUCUUUUGGGUCUCGUAAUUGGAAUGAGUACAAUCUAAAUCCCUUAACGAGGAACAAUUGGAGGGCAAGUCUGGUGCCAGCAGCCGCGGUAAUUCCAGCUCCAAUAGCGUAUAUUAAAGUUGUUGCAGUUAAAAAGCUCGUAGUUGAACCUUGGGUCUGGCUGGCCGGUCCGCCUCACCGCGAGUACUGGUCCGGCUGGACCUUUCCUUCUGGGGAACCUCAUGGCCUUCACUGGCUGUGGGGGGAACCAGGACUUUUACUGUGAAAAAAUUAGAGUGUUCAAAGCAGGCCUUUGCUCGAAUACAUUAGCAUGGAAUAAUAGAAUAGGACGUGCGGUUCUAUUUUGUUGGUUUCUAGGACCGCCGUAAUGAUUAAUAGGGAUAGUCGGGGGCGUCAGUAUUCAGCUGUCAGAGGUGAAAUUCUUGGAUUUGCUGAAGACUAACUACUGCGAAAGCAUUCGCCAAGGAUGUUUUCAUUAAUCAGGGAACGAAAGUUAGGGGAUCGAAGACGAUCAGAUACCGUCGUAGUCUUAACCAUAAACUAUGCCGACUAGGGAUCGGGCGGUGUUUCUAUGAUGACCCGCUCGGCACCUUACGAGAAAUCAAAGUUUU